CCUUGUAACGUACAUGAAACGUUACUUGUUUAUAAUGUAUUUAGUUAUUUUUAUUUAGAUAUUGCCCUUUUUGGUUUUCACCUGUAAUACCAUGGAGAACCUCAUGGGGGCACUAAUGGGGAAUUUAGCAUAUAUGCCCAGUUACCAUAGAGUAAGUUAGCUUUGUUUGGGAUUCAGCCCAUGUGUUUGUGCUCCCUCUCAUAUAUGGCAUCUAAAGUCCUUUUGUGGAGAACUCUUUGAGUUUCAGCUCUACUAAAGGACUUUUUGUUAUACAUGGAAAAAAAGAUAAACCUCGUUGUUUUGAGUGAAGCUUGUUGGUAGCAACUAUAUUCUGAAGGAAUCCUUGUGUCUUCAUUUAUGGUCUUCACCAGUGGAUUAAUUCUGUUUUCUGUCAACAUUGGAACUGAGUGUUGCUUUUAUUGCUGUGGCCUCUUGGCAGCGUUGAGGACAGCGGGCCUAUGGACAGAAUUCCAGUUUACCUUGUCUUCCAAUGAGGAAUUGGGGAUUUAAUAAUUGUAUCAAAUUCAAGUAUUGCUCUGGACUUUGAACUUUAACAUUGUCAUCUAAACUUAAAUGUAAUGAAGACUCAUGAUGUUGUUUCUAUGUAUAUAUUGUUUUCUUUGAAUAUGUUUGGGAGCAUAUGUGGGAUAAAUAAAAUAAGGAGAUCAUUGA